UUGAUUAAUUGUUCAGCUGUCUUAUAGCUUGGGGGUAGAAGACGUUAAGGAGCCUUUUGGACCUAGACUUGGCGCUCCGGUAUCGCUUGCCGUGCGGUAGCAGAGAGAACAGUCUAUGACUUGGGUGACUGGAGUCUUUGACUAUUUUUUGGGCCUUCCUCUGACACCGGCUAGUAUAUAGGUCCUAGGUGGCAAGAAGCUUGGCCCCAGUGAUGUAUUGGGCACUACCCUCUGUAGCGCGACAUCUAGUACUGAAAGCAUAAGCUACUGUACAUCUAGCUAGUACUGCAGUGCAUAAAAUGUUGUGAGUAGUUGACUCAAAGAGAGAGAAAGACAAUAGUUAACAGUUUUGAACAAAUGUAUUUCUUCAAAAAUUAAGGAGAAGCAAGAGAGAGAGAGAUUGUCAUAAUUUUUUUACUUUCAGUUUCACUUACUUAGCUAGUAGAUUCAGCUGGUUAGUUUAGUUACUCAAACACCCGGCUCAAACAGAGGGAUGCUAUGUUAGCUAGAUGGCAAUGAAUAUCCAACACAACACUGGAACUCUUCCAAGUCAAGGACCUGAGCCCUAAGACCAUGUCUCAGGACUACCUGGCCUGAUGACUCCUUGCUGUCCUCAGUCCACCUGGUCGUGCUGCUGCUCCAGUUUCAACUGUUCUGCCUGCAGCUAUGGAAUCCUGACCUGUUCAUCGGACGUGCUACCUUGUCCCGAACCUGCUUUUUUUGACUCUCUCUCUACCGCACCUGCUGUCUCUAACUCUGAAUGAUCGGCUAUGAAAAGCCAGCUGACAUUUACUCCUGAGGUGCUGACAUGUUUUGCACCCUCUACAACCACUGUGAUUACUAUGAACGUUUGAACAUCUAGGCCAUCUACUGUUAUAAUCUCCACCCGGCACAGCCAGAAGAGGACUGGCCACCCCUCAGAGCCUGGUUCCUCUCUAGGUUUCUUCCUAGGUUCCUGCCUUUCUAGGGAGUUUUUCCUAGCCACUGUGCUUCUACAUCUGCAUUGCUCUCUGUUUGGGGUUUUAGGCUGGGUUUCUGUCUAGCACUUUGUGACUUCCAGCUGAUGUAAAAAGGGCUCGAUAAGUACAUUUGAUUGGAUUGAUUGAUUGAUGUCAGACACGCACUAUCCUAAUGCUCUUUUUGACUGAUGACUGUACAUGAUAGGCCUAUCUGGCUUAUAUGAUUAUGAUGGUCAUAAUGGUUCUUGACAGUGUCAUAAAGUGUAUUUUCUUAGUCCGAGCAAAGUGACACAGGAUGUUCAUAAUGCUUCUUGACAUUGUCAUAAAGUGCAUUUUCUUAGUCCAAAUAAAAUGACACAGGAUGGUCAUAACGCUUUCUGACAAUGUCAUAAAGUGUAUUUUCUAUAGGUUAUUUAAAAUAUGUUGAAGAAAAAAAACAUGACUGUAAAGAAUUCAUUACAACAACAACAACAAAGGACCUGUCUAGCUGGCUAUCUAAAGCCAACUUCAUAAAGUGGCUUUGUGGCUAGUAUUACAGAGAAACAUCAAAACAUUUUGGCAUUAUUUAUUCAUCAAGAAGAAAUCAAUAGGCAGCGUAGCUUGAUCAAAUUCCUUUACAAACAUCACGGGCAGCUGGAACCAAAUCAAAUGCUGCCUUUGUUCCCUGGUGCACCGUGAAAGGAAACACUUACCAGGGAGAAUGUCCAGCCAGUGUACCCCCUCCGCAAAAUACAGCAGACAGAUAUUUUUAUAAAUAAUUCUGAUAAAAUGUGGCCUUUAAAUGAAGUUUAGGUAUUCAUUUAACAUCUGAUAUUUCUUUUAAACAGGACAAAUCACAGGGGGCACGUGCCCUUGUGAUGCCUCUGAGCGUGGCUAUCCAUAUUAUCGGGGAAAUGAUCAGGGAUGGUGGAAAUCCACAUAGUAUGACAGAAUACCUGAGACUUACCUUUAGAUUUAGUUUGGAGGAUGAGGAACAUAUGAAGCUUCACACAACAGCUCUUAGCUUUUAAGUCUAUGGACGAUAUACAGUAACUACAGUACAAUGCAGUCUGACUGUGUAGGUGUGUACACUGGCAAACGCAAAUAUCCCAAGCUGUUGGAACAUGUGAUUAUUUUAUAAGCAUGCAUUUACAUGAAUACAUUUUAGUAGUUUAGUAGUCAUCCCACUUUGCUGCCUGAAGGUAAAUUACAUAAACUGCUCAAGCAUGACCAGACCACCUGUACAUUCAAUAUAAUAUACACUCAUACAUUAC
rnacentral:lncRNA from 1 species